rnacentral:rRNA from 1 species
UGGGAUGAAUAAUCCAAGGCGCUCGAGAGAACUCUGGCCAAGGAACUCGGCAAAAUAACCCCGUAACUUCGGAAGAAGGGGUGCUCUCUAGGGUGACAUGUUUAACAUAUGAAGCCCCGGGGAGCCGCAGUGAAUUGGUGGUGGCGACUGUUUACUAAAAACAUAGGUCUGUGCGAAGUCCUAAAGACGACGUAUACGGACUGACGCCUGCCCGGUGCUGGAAGGUUAAAAGGAGGGGUCAGCGCAAGCAAAGCUCCGAAUUGAAGCCCCAGUAAACGGCGGCCGUAACUAUAACGGUCCUAAGGUAGCGAAAUUCCUUGUCGGGUAAGUUCCGACCUGCACGAAUGGCGUAACGAUCUCCACACUGUCUCGGCCAGAGACUCGGUGAAAUUGCAGUCGCGGUGAAAAUUCCGUGUACCCGCAGAAAGACGGAAAGACCCUGUGCACCUUUACUAUAGCUUGACAUUGGAUUUUGGGCCUGCAUGUGUAGGAUAGGUGGGAGGCUGUGAACCCUGUACGCCAGUAUGGGGGGAGCCAUCCUUGAAAUACCACCCUUGCAUGUUUAAGAUCCUAACUUCUUCCGGUUAUCCCGGAGAAAGACAGUGUCUGGCGGGUAGUUUGACUGGGGCGGUCGCCUCCUAAAGUGUAACGGAGGCAUGCAAAGGUUCCCUCAGCCUGAUCGGAAACCAGGCGCUGAGUGCAAACGCAUAAGGGAGCUUGACUGUAAGAGAGACAUCUCGAACAGGAACGAAAGUUGGCGUUAGUGAUCCGGUGGUCCCGAAUGGAAGGGCCAUCGCUCAUUGGAUAAAAGGUACGCCGGGGAUAACAGGCUGAUCGCAUCCAAGAGUUCACAUCGACGAUGCGGUUUGGCACCUCGAUGUCGGCUCAUCACAUCCUGGGGCUGAAGUAGGUCCCAAGGGUACGGCUGUUCGCCGUUUAAAGUGGUACGCGAGCUGGGUUUAAAACGUCGUGAGACAGUUUGGUCCCUAUCUUCUGUGGGCGAAGGAGAAUUGAGAGGGCCUGUCCCUAGUACGAGAGGACCGGGAUGGACGCACCCCUGGUGAUCCUGUUGUCGCGCCAGCGGCAUAGCAGGGUAGCUAUGUGCGGAAGGGAUAACCGCUGAAAGCAUCUAAGCGGGAAGCCUGCCUCAAGAUGAGUUCUCCCCUCGAAAGAGCU